AAUUAGCGGAUGACUUGUGGCUGGGGGUGAAAGGCCAAUCAAACCGGGAGAUAGCUGGUUCUCCCCGAAAGCUAUUUAGGUAGCGCCUCGUGAAUUCAUCUCCGGGGGUAGAGCACUGUUUCGGCAAGGGGGUCAUCCCGACUUACCAACCCGAUGCAAACUGCGAAUACCGGAGAAUGUUAUCACGGGAGACACACGGCGGGUGCUAACGUCCGUCGUGAAGAGGGAAACAACCCAGACCGCCAGCUAAGGUCCCAAAGUCAUGGUUAAGUGGGAAACGAUGUGGGAAGGCCCAGACAGCCAGGAUGUUGGCUUAGAAGCAGCCAUCAUUUAAAGAAAGCGUAAUAGCUCACUGGUCGAGUCGGCCUGCGCGGAAGAUGUAACGGGGCUAAACCAUG
rnacentral:rRNA from 1 species